rnacentral:rRNA from 1 species
AUGGAGGGUGCAGCGACGGAGAACUCGACGGUGCCCAUGGUGGCUCCGGAGGCGGCUGACCAUGCAGGUCAGCAUGUGGAUGGUUCGACGGUGCCCAUGGUGGUGCCAGAGGCGGCUGUUGACGCGCCCAUGGUGAUGACUGAAGCAGAUGUAGAUGCAGACCAGCGUGCUGACAGCGUGGCAGCACCCAUGGUGACGACUGAAGCAGCUGCUGACGCGGAUCAUCCUAUCGAGGAUGCGGCUACCCAGGACAGGAAGCACGGGGAUGAUGAAGGAGUUGUCAAUGUUACUCCUGAGGAAAUGAGAGCCAUCAUCGAAGUUAUAGCUGAGACGGGGAAGUUCUGGCACGACUGGAGUUUUCUCAAGAGAUUGUUGUCUCUCCAAUUGAUGCAGGUCUUGGGUGAAUAUUCUGAGGCUCAAAUGGUGAUCCGAGAGGACGGGCAGCAACAGAAUUCCUUGUUUAGAGAGACGCACUCAGAGCUGUUUAGCCAGCUCAAUGAUGCUCUCUUGAGGUUUGAAGAGGGUCCUCCGUUUACACUUCAAAGGCUUUGUGAGAUUUUGUUGGAUCCAAAAGGAACAUACACAAAAUUGUCGAAGCUUGCUUUGGCCUUGGAGAAGAACCUCCUAGUCACGUCUACCAUAACUAAGUGUACUGAACCCUACCCUACUGCUCAUGGGCCAAAUUCAGAAGGACCAGUGAUCACAGAAAACACAGGUUCUGUUGAUGUAGAGCCUGAAAGGCCGGCAGAGCAUCCUGCAGCAGUGCCCAAUGGAACACAGUAUGCAGGAGGUGAUGGUGAUGAAGAGAUGGCUGACGCAGAAGCGGAGGGGCUGCCUGGUAGCCAUGAUGUCGAGAUGCAGGAGGAGAAGCCUGAUCAAAUUCCAGAUGUUAACUCUGACACCAACUCAGUUACUGCAGUUGCUUGUGAAACAGUUAAUGCUAGUGAAAAAGCUCCAGAUUCACAAAGUUGA